rnacentral:rRNA from 1 species
GAAUUCGCCCUUAGAGUUUGAUCCUGGCUCAGGAUGAACGCUGGCGGCGUGCUUAACACAUGCAAGUCGAACGGGGCACCCCCAAAGGAGUUUUCGGACAACUGCGGGGAAUGCCUAGUGGCGGACGGGUGAGUAACGCGUGAGCAACCUGCCUUGGAGUGGGGAAUAACAGAUGGAAACAUCUGCUAAUACCGCAUGAUGCAGUUGGGCCACAUGGCUCUGACUGCCAAAGAUUUAUCGCUCUGAGAUGGGCUCGCGUCUGAUUAGCUAGUUGGCGGGGCAACGGCCCACCAAGGCGACGAUCAGUAGCCGGACUGAGAGGUUGGCCGGCCACAUUGGGACUGAGACACGGCCCAGACUCCUACGGGAGGCAGCAGUGGGGAAUAUUGGGCAAUGGGCGCAAGCCUGACCCAGCAACGCCGCGUGAAGGAAGAAGGCUUUCGGGUUGUAAACUUCUUUUCUCAGGGACGAACAGAUGACGGUACCUGAGGAAUAAGCCACGGCUAACUACGUGCCAGCAGCCGCGGUAAUACGUAGGUGGCAAGCGUUAUCCGGAUUUACUGGGUGUAAAGGGCGUGUAGGCGGGGACGCAAGUCAGAUGUGAAAACCACGGGCUCAACCUGUGGCCUGCAUUUGAAACUGUGUUUCUUGAGUACUGGAGAGGCAGACGGAAUUCCUAGUGUAGCGGUGAAAUGCGUAGAUAUUAGGAGGAACACCAGUGGCGAAGGCGGUCUGCUGGACAGCAACUGACGCUGAGGCGCGAAAGCGUGGGGAGCAAACAGGAUUAGAUACCCUGGUAGUCCACGCUGUAAACGAUGGAUACUAGGUGUGGGGGGACUGACCCCCUCCGUGCCGCAGUUAACACAAUAAGUAUCCCACCUGGGGAGUACGAUCGCAAGGUUGAAACUCAAAGGAAUUGACGGGGGCCCGCACAAGCGGUGGAGUAUGUGGUUUAAUUCGAAGCAACGCGAAGAACCUUACCAGGGCUUGACAUCCCGAGGCCCGGUGUAGAGAUACACCUUUCUCUUCGGAGACCUCGGUGACAGGUGGUGCAUGGUUGUCGCCAGCUCGUGUCGUGAGAUGUUGGGUUAAGUCCCGCAACGAGCGCAACCCUUAUCUUUAGUAGCCAGCAUUUGAGGUGGGCACUCUAGAGAGACUGCCAGGGACAACCUGGAGGAAGGUGGGGAUGACGUCAAAUCAUCAUGCCCCUUAUGAUCAGGGCUACACACGUGCUACAAUGGCGUAAACAAAGGGAAGCAAGCAUGUGAAUGUGAGCAAAUCCCAAAAAUAACGUCUCAGUUCGGAUUGUAGUCUGCAACUCGACUACAUGAAGCUGGAAUCGCUAGUAAUCGCGAAUCAGAAUGUCGCGGUGAAUACGUUCCCGGGUCUUGUACACACCGCCCGUCA